AGCAGCCGCGGUAAUUCCAGCUCCAAUAGCGUAUAUUAAAGUUGUUGCAGUUAAAAAGCUCGUAGUUGAAUUUCGGGGUUAGCAGGUCGGUCGUGCCAUUGGUAUGAACUGGUCUCGCUGAUCCCUCCCUCUUGACGAACUGUGAUGCCAUUAAUUUGGUGUCGCGGGGAAUCAGGACUGUUACUUUAGAAAAAUUAGAGUGUUUAAAGCAGGCUCACGCUUGAAUACAUUAGCAUGGAAUAAUGAAAUAGGACGUUUGAUCCUAUUUUGUUGGCUUCUAGGAUCGACGUAAUGAUUAAUAGGGAUAGGUUGGGGGCAUUAGUAUUCAA
rnacentral:rRNA from 1 species